GUCUCCAUAGCUCAGUGGUUUAGAGCGGCCGCCUGCAGUGUAUGCAGCUGCAUAGCGGCAGGUCACGUGUUCAAAUCACGUUGGGGACU
rnacentral:tRNA from 1 species